GAUGAACGCUGGCGGCGUGCCUAAUACAUGCAAGUCGAGCGAACAGACGAGGAGCUUGCUCCUCUGACGUUAGCGGCGGACGGGUGAGUAACACGUGGAUAACCUACCUAUAAGACUGGGAUAACUUCGGGAAACCGGAGCUAAUACCGGAUAAUAUAUUGAACCGCAUGGUUCAAUAGUGAAAGACGGUUUUGCUGUCACUUAUAGAUGGAUCCGCGCCGCAUUAGCUAGUUGGUAAGGUAACGGCUUACCAAGGCAACGAUGCGUAGCCGACCUGAGAGGGUGAUAGGCCACACUGGAACUGAGACACGGUCCAGACUCCUACGGGAGGCAGCAGUAGGGAAUCUUACGCAAUGGGCGAAAGCAUGACGGAGCAACGCCGAGUGAGUGAUGAAGGUCUUCGGAUCGUAAAACUCUGUUAUUAGGGAAGAAAAAAUGUGUAAGUAAAUAUGCACGUCUUGACGGUAACUAAUCAGAAAGCCACGGCUAACUACGUG
rnacentral:rRNA from 1 species